rnacentral:rRNA from 1 species
UACGGAGGAUGCGAGCGUUAUCCGGAUUUAUUGGGUUUAAAGGGUGGGUAGGCGGGUUAUCAAGUCAGCGGUAAAAUCGUGGAGCUCAACUCCAUCCAGCCGUUGAAACUGAUGAUCUUGAGUGGGCGAGAAGUAUGCGGAAUGCGUGGUGUAGCGGUGAAAUGCAUAGAUAUCACGCAGAACUCGGAUUGCGAAGGCAGCAUACCGGCGCCCGACUGACGCUGAAGCACGAAAGCGUGGGUAUCGAACAGG